AAAAUGAAGGGAUAGUAAGAAUAUUAAAACUUCAAAAAAGAGCAGCAAGAUUAAUUCUUGAUGCAGACCCAUUAUCCCCAUCAGCCCCCUUAUUUAAAGAACUUGGAUGGAUGACAGUAGAAAACAGAAUCAAAUACCACAAAUAUUUAUUGCUAUUUAAAUGUAUGCGGAAAGAAGCACCACAGUACCUAUUUCAAAAGUUUCAACUUAUAUCUGUUAAUAAUCCUUAUGCCUUAAGGGGUGUUACUCAAGGUAAUUUGAUAGUUCCAAAGCCAAAAACUGAACUGUUUAAAAAAUCUUUUGCUUAUUCUGGAUCAGUUUUAUGGAACGGACUACCAUAUGAAAUGCGUAAAGUGCAAAACACUUAUUCUUUUAAACAAAUUAUAAAACAAUACUUGAGACAGUCCCAAUAUUCAGUCUGAAAUGAUUGCAACUAUUACU
rnacentral:lncRNA from 1 species